rnacentral:rRNA from 1 species
UAAGCGGAGGAUAAAGAAAAUAACAAGGAUUCCCCUAGUAACGGCGAGUGAAGCGGGAAGAGCUCAAAUUUGAAAUCUGGCAGUCUUCGAUUGUCCGAGUUGUAAUCUAGAGAGGCGUUUUCCGUGCCGGACCGUGUCCAAGUCUCCUGGAAAGGAGUAUCAAAGAGGGUGAUAAUCCCGUACUUAACACGACCACCGGUGCUCUGUGAUACGUCUUCUACGAGUCGAGUUGUUUGGGAAUGCAGCUCAAAAUGGGUGGUGAAUUCCAUCUAAAGCUAAAUAUUGGCGAGAGACCGAUAGCGAACAAGUACCGUGAGGGAAAGAUGAAAAGCACUUUGGAAAGAGAGUUAAACAGUACGUGAAAUUGUUGAAAGGGAAACGAUUGAAGUCAGUCGUGUUCUUUGGAUUCAGCCAGUUCUGCUGGUCUACUUCCUUUGAACGGGUCAACAUCAGUUUUGUCCGGUGGAUAAAGGCAGUAGGAAUGUAGCUUCUCCGGAAGUGUUAUAGCCUAUUGUCACAUACACCUGGGUGAGACUGAGGACUGCAGCUCGCCUUUAU